GACGAACGCUGGCGGCGUGCUUAACACAUGCAAGUCGAACGGUAAGGCCCUUGGGGGUACACGAGUGGCGAACGGGUGAGUAACACGUGGGUGAUCUGCCCUGCACUUCGGGAUAAGCCUGGGAAACUGGGUCUAAUACCGGAUAGGACCACUGCCUGCAUGGGUGGUGGUGGAAAGCUUUUGCGGUGUGGGAUGGGCCCGCGGCCUAUCAGCUUGUUGGUGGGGUGAUGGCCUACCAAGGCGACGACGGGUAGCCGGCCUGAGAGGGUGACCGGCCACACUGGGACUGAGAUACGGCCCAGACUCCUACGGGAGGCAGCAGUGGGGAAUAUCGCACAAUGGGCGCAAGCCUGAUGCAGCGACGCCGCGUGAGGGAUGACGGCCUUCGGGUUGUAAACCUCUUUCAGCACCGACGAAGCGCAAGUGACGGUAGGUGCAGAAGAAGGACCGGCCAACUACGUGCCAGCCGCCGCAGUAA
rnacentral:rRNA from 1 species